rnacentral:tRNA from 1 species
GGCAACUUGGCCGAGUGGUUAAGGCGAAAGAUUAGAAAUCUUUUGGGCUCNNNGUCCUGCAGUUGUCG